GGGGUCGACUGGUUUUGACAGCAAGAUGAAGUGGACAGUAAGCACGUCGAGCAUUGUACUUUUAGCUCGUAAAUCCAAAGGUACGAACUUAUAAACGGCGAAAAUAAUUACGCUUUAGCUGCUUAAUCCGAAGUUUAGUACGAUUUGCCUAGUUCCAACAAGGUUGGAAAGCUAGAUUUACCUCAAAAGCCUUGGUUUGUGGCGUUUGAUUAAGGUAAACCGGAAAAAUAAACCUAGAAAUGGUAAUGCUUUAAAUCCAUUUUGACACUGAUAAAGCUAAGUAGUUUGUGGUUGUUUCUGACCUAGCAAAUUAUCGAAAAUUUAAUCAGGAACUAAGCGUGUAGAAAGCUCUUUAUUUCCUUGUUUGGACGGGAGUUCGACUCUCCCCGACUCCACAA
rnacentral:tmRNA from 1 species